rnacentral:rRNA from 1 species
UAUGGGGGGGGCAAGCGUUGUUCGGAAUUACUGGGCGUAAAGGGCUCGUAGGCGGCCAACUAAGUCAGACGUGAAAUCCCUCGGCUUAACCGGGGAACUGCGUCUGAUACUGGGUGGCUUGAAUCCGGGAGAGGGAUGCGGAAUUCCAGGUGUAGCGGUGAAAUGCGUAGAUAUCUGGAGGAACACCGGUGGCGAAGGCGGCAUCCUGGACCGGUAUUGACGCUGAGGAGCGAAAGCCAGGGGAGCAAACGGG